rnacentral:antisense_RNA from 1 species
UGCCCAGUAAUCCUGCCCACUUGGGUAUCCUUUAUUUGGCAUAUGUUGAGUCAUCAGGCAUGAGCAACCAGACAGUGGACAGUGAACCCAGGAAGUAGGGUCUCUCAGAGGUAUGAGGAAAAGCCGAGCGCGCCCCCGCGCCCCCCCUCUCUCUGAGGCCAGCACCCUCUCUGAUUAGAUCCAUUCAAGGAUGACAUCUCUUCCUUUCUGCAGGCCGCUGCUCUGAAAGACUACCCUCCAGCAGGAGAGUUGUCUCAGUGGGAAGGUUUUCUCUAGGCCAGGUUGUUCAGUCAAGAACCUUAUCACAGGCCUCCUACCAAAAAAGGCCCCGAAACCUUGACUUUUCACGCUCUGCUCUUUCCCCUCCUCCGUUCUGCUCCUAUUGCCUCUUCCCUUAGGAGUGUGUCCUCUGUCUUUUCCUCUACCCGUGAAUUUCAUUUGUGCCCCGCCCCCGAGGUGGCCUCUGGUUGUCUUCAUGUUGCCGAGGCAUCGAGCAGCGGAGUUUUUGAGAAGGCGACAAGGGAGCAGCGUCCCGAGGGGAAUCAGCUUUUCAGGAACUCGGCUGGCAGACGGGACUUGCGGGAGAGCGACAUCCCUAACAAGCAGAUUCGGAGUCCCGGAGUGGAGAGGACACCCCAAGGGAUGACGCCUGCGUCCCGGAGCGCCUGUCGCUGGGCGCUACUGCUGCUGGCGGUACUG